rnacentral:rRNA from 1 species
ACGAACGCUGGCGGCGUGCCUAAUACAUGCAAGUCGAGCGGAAUGAUGAAGAAGCUUGCUUCUUCUGAUUUUAGCGGCGGACGGGUGAGUAACACGUGGGCAACCUACCUUGUAGAUUGGGAUAACUCCGGGAAACCGGGGCUAAUACCGAAUAAUCCAUUUUGCUUCAUGGCGAGAUGUUGAAAGACGGUUUCGGCUGUCACUACGAGAUGGGCCCGCGGCGCAUUAGCUAGUUGGUAGGGUAAUGGCCUACCAAGGCGACGAUGCGUAGCCGACCUGAGAGGGUGAUCGGCCACACUGGGACUGAGACACGGCCCAGACUCCUACGGGAGGCAGCAGUAGGGAAUCUUCCACAAUGGACGAAAGUCUGAUGGAGCAACGCCGCGUGAGUGAAGAAGGCCUUCGGGUUGUAAAGCGCUGUCGUGCGGGGAGAAAGGUCCAACGGCAAACAGUCGAGGGACUCUGACGGUACCGCAAAAGGAAGCUCCGGCUAACUCCGUG